GUGUAUAUAUAUACUGUGUUUGCUGGGAUGCAUAUUGUGUGAAGUUGGCGCUAUUAGACUGAAGUUGCCGAUUUGUAGGAUAACGAAUAGCCUCGACGAGUAUCAGGCAGCUGCAUCCCGCUGUGAUUAAUUAGUAACAGUUCACGUUUCGGAAAUGCCGUAUAAAGUAUAUCGGACGAUCGUAAUUAUUCGUGUUUUCGCGAAUUAAUUAAUGUUGUAAGUGUUACGAAGGAUCAAGAAAGGAGGACGAGGACGACAGCGGAGCAACUGCGUGAGCUAAGCAUUAAGUUGCACGCGAGUUCGACUGCAAGAUUCUCGAGUGCCAAACGGAUUGUUGUUUCAUGAUUAUAAUUUUCGCAUUGUUUUCUCAUGUACGCGAAAUAGAUUCACGCGUCGCGUCGGGAGUGCCGUGUAAAGUGUCGGGCGAUUGUAAUUAUUCAUGUUUUCGCGAGUGUCGUGAGUGCUACAAAGGACCAAGAGAGGAGGAGGAGGCUCGGGGAAGCAUCGGGCAACGGGACAAAU